CACGUAGGGUGCGAGCGUUGUCCGGAAUUAUUGGGCGUAAAGAGCUUGUAGGCGGUUUGUCGCGUCUGCUGUGAAAUUUCGGGGCUCAACCCCGAACUUGCAGUGGGUACGGGCAGACUAGAGUGUGGUAGGGGAGUCUGGAAUUCCUGGUGUAGCGGUGAAAUGCGCAGAUAUCAGGAGGAACACCGGUGGCGAAGGCGGUUCUCUGGGCAUGAUCUGACGCUGAGGAGCGAAAGUGUGGGGAGCGAACAGG
rnacentral:rRNA from 1 species